GAUGAAGAACGCAGCGAAAUGCGAUAAGUAGUGUGAAUUGCAGAAUUCAGUGAAUCAUCGAAUCUUUGAACGCACAUUGCGCCCCUUGGUAUCCCGAGGGGCAUGCCUGUUCGAGCGUCAUUUCACCACUCAAGCCUGGCUUGGUGUUGGGCGACGUCCUCUUUGGGGACGCGCCUCGAAACGCUCGGCGGCGUGGCACCGGCUUUAAGCGUAGCAGAAUCUUUCGCUUUGGAAGUCGGGGCCCCGUCUGCCGGAAGACCUGCGCGCAAGGUUGACCUCGGAUCAGGCAGGGAUACCCGCUGAACUUAAGCAUAUCAAAAGCGGAGA
rnacentral:misc_RNA from 1 species